GCCUGUGGACAGGUCUGGAAUUCAACAAUUAAGUAGUAGCAGAUCUGUGCAAAGGUUAGUAAACCCCCCUGCUGAAAUUCACGAUCGCUUUAGCUAUGAUAGGUUGUAUUCAAAGUGGAAUUGUCAAACUCUUAUUACCUCAUGAGACCAAGGUUAGAGAACUUGUUGCUUUCUUGAUAUGUCGGCAGUCUAGCUUUUUAGCACGCUCAUAAUCUCUGAAUUCAUUGCCAUGUUGAAUUAAAUAACACAAGAGAGUUUUCAGGUAGAUAUAGUUGUAAAGGUAGAGAACACUUGUUACUAGGUGAUUGAUGAACAUUGAUAGGGCAAAAAGACUUGAGCUUGCUAAUUUUUACUCAUAGAACCUGCUGAGUUGAGUAUGGUGAAGGUGAUUUUAUUCUCUUCUUGAUUUGGAGUAUUUUUUUCCCAUCCCACCAAUGCCAAAAAUAGAGCAGAUUCCAGAGCCUUGAUUAUUCGCAAUUUGAAUAUUUUUAGUGCGUAUUGUUAAGUUUGAUGUUCCUCUAGUCUGAAUUCUUUCAAAGCCAGUCAUUCUCUUCGCGUAACUUUACACUUUCCAGCCUCUUCACUCGGCAUUGCAUUCCUUCAUAAGGAUAUCAUGAACAUUGCCGGUGUACAUAUACAAAUCCCGGAAAUUGAACCAUUGCCUUCCAUUUGUUCACACCAUACCUGCCUAUAUAGUACAUCACUUUGCACCGGGAAUUCCAUAGUAGUUGAUUAUUCCAUGAGCACAGUCAUCAAAGUUCGAGAAGACUCUAAAGGGCUUUAUUGCCAUCAACCCUGCAAAAUUCAUUAUUAUGAAGAGCUAUAUUCAUCAGCAUUGGUUCCUCUCUUAGAUACAAAUGAAAAAAAAAGAAAUAAAGAAAAAGCGAGAUGAGCACCAUGCAAAAGAUCAAAGGGUUCAUUCUCAAGCAGGACAAAAUAGCCAGCAGCGCUUCCAUAUUCAUGUGCAGAUUAAUCAAACUACUAUCUAUGCAUAUCGAUAACGGGAACAUCACUCACAUCCCGGGAUCACCUUACAUUGCAUAGGCCUCUCAAAUCAUUUCUUUGGUGUGAGUCCAUUCCCUCCCACAUACCCUGAUACUACUUCUUUCAAUGACUGGAACUAAAGACUUCUUUGUACUGGAGUUGAACUCUUAUUUAGCUUUACAAUCUAGAUUCAGAUUUGCUAUUUUUUUAAUUACCUUACCAAGCUCCAGAUAAGCUUUCCACAAAUAUAAAGUAGAUAGGGAAUACUUGGGCUACUGGCCAGUGAGGACUAUAUAAUUAUGUGACGAGAGUAAUUCCAGAUCAUGACGAGGUAAUUUCACUAGAUACCUGCUCUUGGAAGAUUCACAAAGGAAUAAAAUUGUUGGCUACUCAUGUUUCCUUUUGUUCUUGACAUUGAAGUCAAACAACCAAGUGAUUAGUGUUCAAAAACUUUUAUAGCUAUAUUGUCGAUGCUGGUUACUCUCAAAAAUUGAAAUCUAUUCCCUACUGGCAAUGAAUAAGAGUAGUUAUUUAAGUGUGCUCAAUCGCUAGCUUGCUACUUUUAUAAGUUUGCAGGAAGUGCCUCGACCCGAAGUUCAUGAGGGUUUCAAUAAUUGUUUGCACAUGAACACUUGUUUGCAAUCUAGCUAUGCUAAGCUUUCAGGUAUUUCACAAGCACGGAGGCAAGUUGAAUCAGGAGCCUAAAUCAUCUGGCCGCGAUUGGAGACUCUCCUCUUUUCUCAUGGGAAGACCCAGAAAGGGAGAGGCCUGAGAUGAAUCAUGUAUACCUUUUGUUUCUCUUUGUAGCCACUUUCUUCCUGAUAAUGCUAUAAGGAAGUGAGAAUGGUUUUUUCACACCUAGUACUACUUUCCUUGCAGCUUCAGUUUGUAGUAGGUUUCGAUGGGUGGUAUGAAAACAGGACAAAAAAUUUCAUUUGUUUUCUCAGCGUGGACAUGUAUAUUCAGUGUAAUGAAGUGCAGUUGUUUGCAAUAGUAUCUUCAUAUCUGAACCUAUGCUUGGGUUCCAAUUUUUGGUUGCCUGUGCUAAUGCAUAAACAAAUAAAGACACUGUAAUGGUUCACUGCAGAAUCUUCGUGGCUGCCUUUUGAUACCCAACUGGCAAUCUGAACCAAUCAUUGUUGCCAUGUUGUUUUUCUUUUCUGAGGAAAAGAAAUUCCUGCGAUUUCUGUUUACAACACAAACAAGAUUCGAGUGCACAAGCACUGGGUAUGAUGAGUGUGCUUGUCUUACCCAGGUAUGAUCCGGUGAGAUUUGGGUUUGUUUUUGGGCCCACUAAUAAACAAGUACUCCCUCCGUUCCCAAAUAUAAGUCUUUCUAGAUAUUUCAACAGGUGACUACAUACAGAGCAAAAUGAGUACUAAAUUUCAUUUGAAAUGUCUACAUGCAUCCGUAUAUUAUAUUUCAUUUAAAAUGUCUACAAAGACUUAUAUUUAAGAACGGAGGGAGUACAGUACAGGGGAACAUCUCAAACGAGCAAACUCUACUAACCACGCACUAGAUCCGAGCCGUGUCUCCCGUUUUCAGUUUCGCGAUGUACGUCUGCUCUGCUUCCUCUGUCUACGCGCCCGUGCUACCGACGCCGACGCCGCCACUGUCACUAAACUACUACGGCUCUUGGCGCGAGAUCUGAAGCGAUGCCGCGGCUCAAGGCGUUGGAACCGGAAUGCUCACGUGCCUUCUCCGUCCAGAAAAACUAGACUUGGGUGCGAUAAUUGAAGCUGAGUCUUCGUUUCCCUAUUUCGCUCGCGCCAUCGGGUUCUUAGCUGGCAGCGAUUUGUUAAGUUCCAUCGUAUCCGUUGGUUGGGGCCAUCGCUACACUUGUUUGCAGCCACUGGUCAACCCUUCUACUAGUACCACUCAGUUGCUCUAUCUUUUCAGUUUUCACAUGAACGCCUGCUCUACCAGAAUUUGUCUCCACUGGUAGUUUAAUUUUUGAGAGUUUACUCACAGUCAAAAUAACUCACGAGGUCCGCCCCGAUGACACAACGUCCCCAAAAGGGUAACAACGCGAAGUGUUGCUGCUGCCGAGUCUGAGACAAUAGACAAAAGUUUUCACCCGGAGCCUGACCGAUGUCCGAGAACCACGACUACGUCUUCAAGAAGAGAACGACGCCCACCGUUGCCGGCAAGAAAGCGUGAACCUUUCUCUCAAAACUUGCCAAUACCACCUGGAGGCGCCUCAGUCACCAUGGCAGUGAGAGUUAGCGGGUUGACAAAACAGGUCAGAGCCUUCCACCCCAACACCCUUGCCGCCGCACACGACCAAGAGGUGGAAGCACUGCCACCACCAUGUAGCCCGCUGAAAAGUUAACCGUGGAGCCCACCAUCAAGGGCUGCCGCCCCGGCAUCCUCGAGGCACCUCCACCCAUCCACCUCACGGCACACCAACAUCGCAAGAAGAGUAGAAGGCACUCCUUCCACUCCUAACUCGGCAUCAGUCUCCAUAUCUUGGGUCAACACCUCCACGGAAGGAGGCGUCGAGCCUACAUCCCAAACUAGUCCAGGUGGACUAAGUGGCCAUGACCCCAAGACUACCAACGACUGCUGCCAAGCCGGCCCCAGCUAUCGCCCUUCGGCCUGGCCAAGGGGAGCUUGCACAACGCCAAAUCUGCUGACAUCGGUGCUGACCCAUACGAUGGUGACGUUUUGCCAGGAUCGCUACCACCACACAUGUGAGCUCCUAUUUGGCAUUUCAUGCGCCAGGGAAGCUCCCUGGCGGUGAGCCGGCCCAUGCACUCGACCGCAUUUGAGAAAAAAAAAGGAAACAAAGCGUUGAAUUCAAAAAAGUUCAUGGAAAUUUGAAAAAAAUCAUCGAUUUGUAAAAAAAUUCAUCAAAUUUUUAAAAGGUCAUUGAAUUUGAAAAAAAAGUUCAUCAAUUUGGAAAUAAUAGUUCAUUGAUUUAAAAAAAAUAUCAAAUUUUGAAAAUUUUCAUUGAUUUUGAAAAAAAAAGUUCUUCAAUUUUGAAAAGAAAUCAUCUGUUUUGAGGAAAGUUAACGAAUUUGAAAAGGUAAUCAAUAUUGAAAAAAAUUCACGAGUAUGAAAACAUUUUAUCAAUUUUUAAAAAGUUCACAAAUUAGAAAAAAAAUGUUUUUUUGAUUUGUAAAGCAAAUUUGGAAAUUUUAAAAAGUUCACACAUUUGCAAAAGGAAAAGUAAACAGAAAAAAAAUGAAAACCGAACAAACCAUUCCAAAAAAUGAUAAAAAAAUAAAAACCAGUUUGGGGAGCUUCCCAAAAACCGAGGGCUUUGCGAACUGGAGAAAUAAUAAUAGGAGAAAAUUAGAGGAGUCGUCACAAUGGUUGUGAUUAUGUGACAUCACAAAAAAAUUAGAAACUUAUUUUUGACAAAUGCAAACCCCAGCAUUUUUACAAGGCUUUAACGUGGCCUAGUCAUAUCAGAAAGAAAAAACGUGGCCUAGUUAUGUGGGCCAGUCACUGUGCUUCAGAAAGCAUAGAGGGUGGAAGCCCACACUCUCCAUUUAUGCCACUCGUUUGGCUAAAGAAAAAGAUAUGCCACUCGUCGGCGACGAGGUCACACGAGGGACGAAGACGAAACAAGGCGGCCGGCCAUGGCUUCGCCGGAGUUCGUUGCCGGCGGCGGUCGACGGCUCACGCCUUCCCUCGCUCUCCGCUGCGCACGGCGACGACCCGAAUCCGUAAGCGCAUCUUGCUCGAAACCCUCGUUUCUCCCUGGCUGGUCCGGUUGGGUCUAUCGGUUGGAUGCGCGUGCGCGGCGUCGGGAACGGAGGAUUAGGCCGCGGUAUUGUGAGUUUCAGUGUUCUCCUGCAACAUUUGGGAAGGUUUCUUCUUUAUACUACUAUAUGAGUUCUGUCAGGCUUUUAUGUAAAGGAAAGGGGUUAAUCACUUAGGUGGCUGCUCGUUAAUUACGCUUCUUAUAGAGUACUCCCUCUGUACCGAAAUGUAGGUCGCUGGGGCAAAUGUUCCGAUCAGGUGAAAAUGGGCAAACGGACAUUUAUACCCUUAGUUUAAAUUUUGAAUCGGGUCGCUGGAUCGUCUUCCACCUCCGCCACCGCCCCUGCCCUCCACCUCCGCCUCCGGCCCCGCCCUCCACCUCCGUCUCCGCCCCUGCCCUCCACCUCCGCCUCCGCCCCCGCCUCCGCCCCCGCCCUCCACCUCCGCCUCGGCCCCCGCCUCCACCUCCACCCACGCCGUCCUGGGGCUCCUCCUGGACCGCGCGCGCCCAGGUGAUGCUCUGCUGCCGCCUGCUCGUGGAGGUGGGCUGGUGCUCUGCUGCUGUCCGCUGGUGGAGUCGAGCUGCUGCUCUGCUGCCGGCUGCUGGUGAAGGCGAGCUGGUGCCCGCACGCGCCCAGGGGAGCUGCUGCCGCUGAAGCACUCACCGCACACAGGAGCUGCUGCCGCUGAAGUACUCCCCGCUGCAUAGGAGCUGCUGGCCUAGGUUCAUCUCCUCGCCCAGUACCCGCUCUGCAUCAAUUUGAUGAUCAUAAGCAAUCAGAUGAUCAUAAACUAAGACUUGCUCAUAUGAGUAAACAAUUUGAUGAUCAUAAACAAGAGUAAUUCAAAGAAAUAUUUGUUGCCAAUAAUUCAAGACAAGAGUAAUUCAAGAGAUAAUUGCUGCCAAUGAUUCGAGUGAAUACUCCAUCAGAAUUUGUUCAAAUUAUUGGGAUGACGACGGAUAGACGACAUGUAAUUAACCUGGGGAGAAAAGGCCACCAGUAACCAUGAGUUCAUGUAUUGGUUUUGAUCUCAGGAAGCAAGGUUUUGAUUUCUUACAACAUGCCACUACUCUAGGAGAAAAUUUUGGUAUCUCAUGAAGAAAUUAUGAGGUUUACUCUGCCAAUAGCCCUGAUCUGAAUGGCCUUGACCUUGGGUUCUUCAACUCGUUGCAAUCUCUAACAGAUUGUCUAAGCCCUAGAACGCUUCAAGAUCUUAUCAAGGGUGUGCUAGAUGAAUUUGAAAACUAUGAGGUUUACAAGCUGAACAGAGUUUUCCUAUCUCUACAAGCUUGCAUGGUUGAAAUCUUGAACCAUGCAGGGGGCAAUGGGUAUAAAAUACCCCAUGCGAACAAGGAAAGGCUAGAGAACCUUGGGAUGCUACCUCCAAGACUUACAUGCCCUCCAGAGGUAUAUGCAAAUGCCCUGCACAAUCUUGGGAUAAUGGAGAGAGUUGCUUGUUGAGUUGCUUGUUGAGAUGCUUGAGGAGUUGCUUGUUGAGUUGCUUGUCGAGAUGCUUGAGGAGUUGCUUGUUGAGAUGCUUGAGGAGUUGCUUGUUGAGUUGCUUGUCGAGAUGCUUGUCGAGAUGCUUGAGGAGUUGCUUGUUGAGAUGCUUGAGGAGUUGCUUGUUGAGUUGCUUGUCGAGAUGCUUGUCGAGAUGCUAGUUGAGAUGCUUGAGGAGUUGCUUGUUGAGAUGCCUGUCGAGAUGCUUGUUGAGAUGCUUGAGGAGUUGCUUGUUGAGAUGCUUGUCGAGUUGCUUGUUAAGAUGCUUGUGAUUAUUUGUGUGGAGUAUGUGUAACUCCUUGUUUGUGUGGAGUAUGAGUAACCCUAGAGAUGUGGCUUGUGUGGAGUAUAUGUAACUCCUUGAGAAGAGACUUGUGUGGAGUGCAUCAUUUGUAUGAUCAUUUUCGGAAACCCCAUGUGAAAUUACUCCAUAUGUUUGCAAAAGGCUUCUAUGGACUGGAUUUUACUCCAUACAUAUGAUCAUUUUUGUUUGAAAAGUUUCAUUUAAUUUUGUGUGGAGUACAUCAUUUGUGUGAUCAUUUUUUUUAAUUAAGAGAGAAGAGGAGAGGGCACUGGAAGAGAGAGAGAGAGAGAGAGAGAGAGAGAGAGAGAAGAGAAGAGAGGGAACUGGAAGAUAAUCCAGUUUCAUUUGAUUUAGGUCUCAUAUUGUUGCACUAUUGUAAGAACUACUCCUACUCCAAGAACUACUCCUACUCCUAUUUUUAAUUAAAACUAAACAGCAGGUCCACAUGAUUUUAAUUUUAAUUUAAGGAAAAUUCCACACGAUUUUACUUGUAUGGCCUAUCGCGAUUUUACUGAAACUACUCCUGAUUUUACAGAAACUACUCCUAUCAUGAUUUUGCUGUCACUAAUAUGCAAGCAACAAUUAAGUUCACAAUAUUAUGCAAGUUAACAAGCUUCAGUAUCCCAAGUUUCAGUACAUAAGUUAACAGAAGCUACAGACGACAACUUUUAAAAGAAGCUACUCUGCACUCUACCUGCAGUAGAUACACAAAUUGUAUACAGGGAGUAUGUACUGAGAUUGCAGUGAAAACAAAUAGGAAGAACACAUUUAGUCUGAUUGUGUUAUUGACAAUUUAAAGCAUUUUUUGAUACACACAUUGUGAAUGAUGGCAUGGUCUUACAGUAGCUGGAGCUUCCAAGACACUCAGGGCAUUCCUCUUCAACUUCACCUCCACACCAUUCUUCAGAACCUGCUUUUACGAUAAUAUCUCAGGAAUUAGAACAAGAUACCACAUUUGGUUGCUUGACUAGCUAAUUUCUGAAAAGAAAAGUGAAGUCAAAAGACAUUAUUUCUUUCACUCCAUUGCAAUUGUCAAUCAUUAUAGAGAACCAGCCACUAGCUAAGCAGAGUUUCAGUGGGAUGCCCAAAUAAUAAUUGGAAGCAAGAAUCACUUUAUAAGCAGAGUUUCAGUAGAAUCUCAAGAUUCAUAGCAGAGUGAGAAUCCAGCAUCUGAUAUCUGGAGGAUUGGUGAACACUGAACAUUUGAUGCAGUUACAUAAAUCCAAAGCUAUACUAAGUUACCAGCAGUAAGAAUCACUUUAUAACACAGCAAAAAAUUGCAGCACAAGGUAACUAUUCCAAGACUGAACUUAGCGCAGUAGGUGGACCUGCCUCAGACAUCAUAACAGACGGGAUAUCACUUCAGCAAGGUCGAUAACAGCCUGAAUUUAGCGCAAGAAAACAAAGGUUCUUGGCACCGAAACAAUCAAGACUGGUGUCCUGCUGCAAUGGGGAUAAGACUGGUUCUUGGCACCAAAACAAGACGAAUCGCUCACCUGCAGUAAUGGGACAGGAACUCCCUGUAGUCCCCGUAGUCCGGCGCCGCCGCCACGGAAUUGUUCGCCACUAGUGGCUCCCUGCGCUCGCCGCGGACUGACGGCCUGGGCAGCCCGCCCAAGGACGCGGCGGAGGCCUCCUCCCCCAGCGCCUCCCCCGGGGGCCUCCACCACCAGCAGCAGCUCCGAUUCCGCCUCUUCAAGCGCCCGGGCGCCGGCGGGGGCGCCGGCGACGUCGUGCUGGGCCUGGGGAUCCGGGAGAGGAGGGAGCUGGGCCGAGUCUUCUUCGCCUUCUGUAGGGGUGGAGGUAGGAGCUGGGGAGGGGUGGAUCCACCGGCGCACGUAGAUCGAGCGCCCGCGCGCCUCCACCGCAUAGAAGCUCGUCACCGGCGGAAAAAAAUCAAAAUUUUCAGCGGCGCAUACAGACUGUGACUGGAGGACGGGUGGUGGAAGAGGCCGGCGACGUCGAGAGGGAGAGGCAGAGGGGAGACCGACGUCGAGGGGGAGUGGCAGAGGGGAGGCUGGCGAUGGGGACGCGGGCCGCCGACGAGCGGAUCUGGGAGAGUGACUGGGAGAGCGAGUGGAGCUAGCGCUGUGAGCGACUGAGCGAGCGAGUGGAGCUAGCGCUGUGAGCGACUGAGCGAGCGAGCGGUGCGGACAGUGAACGAACGAUGCGGGAGGGAAAAUUGGGAAAGUGAAAGAAUUUCGUAACGUGACGAAAAUUACACUACGAUCGCUUAAACGACCUACAUUUCGGAACAGAGGGAGUAGAAUACUUAGGGUUAACAACACCGAAAUGGCGUUCUAGCAUUAUUCCAGCUGUUUCAAUUUCGAGGCCUCCUUCAUCACUUGCCUCAUUAGCCUGUUUCUGAACUUUUCUGUCUUAUAACAGACCAAAAAGGACUUGAUAUGUUUUGAUUCCUUGUCAGAAGUAACCUUGCUUGACAUCAGUUACAGUUUGGUGCAUUGCAGAACCACCUAUGCUUGGUGUGAAAUCAACGCAUGUGCAUCCUGUGCCUAUGCUAUUGUGCAUUGGUCUAGGAUACAGCAGUUGGCACGAGAUCUGAAGCGGCGUCCUUGGUUUCGCUGUAGACGCAGUGCAUUGAAGCCGCGGUUGCUGUAGUGAAUAGAGUUCCUCCCACCCGUUGCUUGGAGCGUUGGUUCAUCACGGAAACCAACCACUCCGUUGAUCAGUUGAUCAGGUACUAUGCGGUUGGGACCCAGGACAACUAGAAUUGAAUAGGUGCGCUGGCUGCACACCCAGCAGUAGUUGCAUCUCAUCAUACUGCACGCGCACAAGCAAUGAUGAUGCUUCAACUGUUAAUUCAGCCAGUACUAUUUUCGUUGGAUGCUUGCGACUGAUUUUGCACUGCAUUGCUUGGAGAUGUAAUUUCAGGAUUCAUAUUUUAAUUCUCAGCAAGAUUUCCAUCAGGAAGGAGGAACAGUGAAGGGAUUGUACAAUUUCCAUAUUAUAGGUGAGUAUUUUUUCCGAACAAGGUGAUCUUUUACACUGGUAUUUGCUCAUUUUGAUUGGGUAAUUUUUGAGCUAGCAUAUUUUGAUGCUUAAACAUCUGAUUUCUACACACAACCUUGCCUUCUUCUAUGGUGAAGUGUUUGCAGUAUUCAUUAAUUAGUGAGUAGGAGUUUUGAUCCGAAAGCUGAGCUCACACCAUUUAUUGUGGAGUACGCCAUUGUUAAUUCGAGUUCGUUGAGAUGCUUGGACCUUCAGCAAUACCCUCAUUGUUUAUUGGACAAACUUUCCUAUAACAAAAAGGUGCUUAGCUUGCACAUAUCAAUGUAUCAUGAUGCUUUUACGCCUGUUUGGUGUCUUGAGGGAUAGUAUGUUGAGUUGUAUUUAGAGAGUCAUGAGAUAGUCAUCCAAUGCCUUUUUCUUCUACCAAAGGUCGAUGUAAUUUGAAAUGACGUGGUUUUCAUACAAGAUAGAUCUUUUUUCUUCUACUAAGCUGGUUCAGUUUGUGUGUCUGUGUGUCUGUGUUUUGCAUAAAGGUUCAGUUUGUGUUUUGUUGGAUAUACAUGCGUUCGUUUCUAAAUUUCGUAAGUUCAUUGGUUUAGAAACUCUGCAGAGAACACUGCGCCUUUUCUCACUUGCAGAAUUUCGUAAGUUAAUUGGUUUAGAGACUCUGCAGAGAACACUGCGCCUUUUCUCACUUGCAGCACUUUGGUACUUCAUCAUCUAUCUAUCAAGCUUGCAUGUGGCCGGAUGCGCUAAAAAUCAAGUCCAUCUAAUCGGAUUCAAGUAUGACAGAACCACCAUAAAUAAAUAAGUGAAACGGGAAAAAGGCCAAAUAUAUGCCUUUGUCUUUGAUGCCCUGAGAAGAGGCCAGUUAUCCCUUACCAUCCAUCACCUCUGAACACUUUCCCAGUGCCGCUGGGAUUACCAGAAGCUGGAAAAUGUGGUUGCCGCGCUUUCUGUCUUGUAGUUGUGAUAUAAUUGAAAUAUAAGUGGAGCAGGUUGAUUUCGUUGAGGUGUGUUUAUUGCCACACCAUCCACUGAAAGCAACCGCUCUGUUGAUCAGGUACAAUGCGGUUGGGAUUCAGGACAACUAGAAUUGAAGACGUGUGCUGGCUGCACACUCAGUACCGUGUUCGUUGGAUGCUUGUGACUGAUUGUCCUGAGAAACAGCAAGGUGGGUACGAAGUCUACGUCAGGAUGAAAGCAGAGAGACAUGCCAUGUGGUGCUAAUUAAGGUCAGGGCACAGCUGGCCUUGUGAAGGUGUGAUGCCUUCAAAUUUCUUCCACCUUGCUUCACAGAAGGGACAUUGCUAGAUGGCUCUCCUCCCAGCACUCCACCAUUGACCUUUCUUCUAGCUAGUCCUCCUCUCUCAGCAUCAGUGCAAUACCAGCACUCUAGUAGACCAACACUACUGGUGACACUGCAUUUGUAGCGUUGCCGUCCGAGCACGAAGCGGGAGCACGGCCGGCCAGCCUCUGGUACGCACAUACAUGUAUCUUGUCUUCCCUCUACAUAUAUGCCCUGUUCUCCUGCAACAUUAAUCUGAUUCCACGAUGUGCCGGCCUGGCUUCUCCAACCUUGUCCAUGAUGUUGAACUCUUGGUUAAUCUCAUAUGCAGGUUUACGCCGUAGGCUAUAACAUCCAUAUCUACCGGGAUUGAUGGCGACGGUUGGCAUCUCCGCAGCAAGCUGGGUAGUGGGCAAGGCUCUAAGCCCACUGUCCGGAGGCGUGCUGGAGGCAUGGAGUGCAAGCUCCAUGCUCGGAUCAAACAUGGAGGCCUUGAAGAUGCAGCUGCUGUACGCGCAGGCGAUGCUGAACAACGUCCGGGGCAGGGAGAUCCACAACCCUGCCCUGGGCGAGCUGCUAGACAAGUUGCGGCACCUCGCGUAUGGAGCCGAAGAUGUGCUGGACGAGCUCGACUACUUCCGCAUCCAAGAUGAGCUCGACGGCACCUACCAUGCCGCCGAUGCACAUGAUGCAGGCUUCGUCCAAGACCUCGCCCUCAAUGCUCGGCACACGGUGAGAGCAUGUGUGAAUAAGCUCAAGUUACCCGUGUGUUCGCGUGCUGCCACGCAGGUUGAGCAAGACGAUGGUGGAAAACAAGGAUACCUCUCAGGUUUCCGCUUUUGUGGAGUUCAUGAGAUUAGCUGCUCACCACCAUCACCCGCCAACCAGAUUCAUGGCAGAUGCAUGCCAAAGGUUGCCUCCAGCACCCGUGAAGCUGCCCACGCUGUCGGUAAACACUUCCCAUGCUAUUCUUUUCCAUCCGUCCACGAUGAUGAUCCUAACAAGGGCAUGUUGGAAUCCACCAACACGUGUGGAAAUGGGCAGCGAUUUCUUUGUGGCGCUUGGGUGUCCCCCAAGGCACCGCAGAAGAAUCAUGCCUUGCAAAUACCAAAGUUAAAGUUUGAUCGGGUAGAAAUGUCUACAAAAAUAAGGGACAUCGUAGAACAGCUGAAACCCGUAUGUGCCAUGGUCUCCACCAUUCUUAAUCUGGAGCUGCUGGGCUCGAGUCGUACCCCUGGACAAGAGGCUGUAAUAAACAGAGCCAAAACCACCCCAGAAAUCAUAGAGCCUAAAUUAUACGGGAGGGAUAGCCAAAACCAGAUUAUUGUGGAUGAAAUUGAUAAGGGUGAAUGUCGUGAACUUACUGUGCUUCCAAUUGUUGGCCCGGGGGGUAUUGGAAAGACAACCUUCACACAACACAUAUAUGAACAAAUGAAAAGCCAUUUCCAGAUUCCCAUUUGGGUAUGUGUCUCUUUCGACUUUAAUGCGAAUAGGUUGGCAAAAGAUAUUUUGAAAAAGAUCCCCAAAGUUAACAAUGAAAACAACACUUGUAGUGAUGAAGAACGUAUCAUGCAAAGAAUAAAAGGAAAGAGGGUUUUACUCGUCUUAGAUGAUGUGUGGACACAUCAUGAGAAUGAGCGGAAAAAACUAUUAAAUUUGUUUAAGAAAGAAGGGGCAAAAGGUAACAUGGUUAUAGUCACGACUCGAAUACCCGAGGUAGCAAACCUGGUUAAGACAACUGAAUGCUCACUAGAAUUGGACAGAUUAUGUGGUGACGAUAUUAAGUCUUUCUUUGAAGAAUGUGUAUUUGGUGACCAAAAACCAUGGGUUGACUAUCCAGAAUUAUCCGAAGUUGGCAGCAAAAUAGUGGACAAGCUGAAAGGUUCCCCUCUUGCAGCAAAAACUGUUGGUAGAUUACUAAGAAACAAACUUACAUUGAAAAACUGGACAAACGUUCUGGAAAGUAAAGAAUGGGAAUCGGAAAGCAAUGACGAUGAUAUUAUGCCAGCUUUAAAGCUCAGCUAUGACCAUCUUCCUUUCCAUUUACAACAAUGUUUCUCUUUUUGUGGUUUGUUUCCUGAAGAUUAUGAAUUUGGUAGCGAAGAGUUGGUUCACUUUUGGAUUGGACUAGAUAUUUUACAUUCACGUGACCAGAAGAGAAAAAGGCUUGAAGAUGUUGGACUGUGCUAUUUAACAGACUUGGUAAAUCAAGGAUUUUUCAAAAUGAAUAAAAAGGAAGAUGGACGUCCUUAUUAUGUCAUCCAUGACUUACUGCAUGAGUUGGCAGUGAAGGUUUCAUCGUAUGAAUGUCUUAGCAUCUAUAGUUCUAGCGUGAGGCACAUAGAAAUCCCCCCGUGUGUACGUCACUUGUCUAUAACCAUAGAUAACACGGAUGUACAGGAUAGGAUGUCUUUUGAAGACCGUGAUGGAAAUUUAAGUGCACUAGAUAAGCGGCUGAAAGUUGAACACCUACGUACUUUAAUGUUAUUUGGUGAUUACCAUGGAAGCUUUGUCAAAACUUUAGGUGGAUUGUUUAAGGAAGCUACAGCCCUUCGUGCCAUAUUUUUGUCCAAAGCAUCGUAUAAUUUGGAGGACAUAUUGCAGAACUUUUCAAAACUUGUCCAUCUUCGCUACCUAAGGAUCAAGUCUGUAUAUGACUGUCAGUUGUGCUUACCAAAUGCGCUAGUUAGAUUGUAUCAUUUGGAGGUCAUUGAUCUACAAAAUGUGGUGCAUUGUGUUUUUUCAACUAAACACAUGAGAAACCUUGUGAAAUUGCGUCAUUUUCUUGUGCCAGAAGAAAAGCUCCAGUUUCAUUCUGACAUUUAUGGGGUGGGAAAACUAAAAUUCAUUCAGGAAUUGGGAUUAUUUAGAGUGGGAAAGGAGAGUAAUGGUUUUGAACUUAGCCAGCUAGGGCCAUUGGCAGAGAUUGGAGGAUCACUUCGCAUUUAUAAUCUCGAAAAUGUGCAAACCAAAGAGGAAGCAAACGAAUCCAAACUGUUGCAUAAGAACCACUUAAGAAGACUUGUAUUAGGAUGGAAUGUUAGGCGACCUAACAAGGAUCCUGUAAAGGAAGAAAAUGUUCUAGGCAGUCUUGUACCGCAUAGCAAUCUUGAAGAGUUGUACAUUAGUGGGCAUGGGGGCACUAAAUGCCCAAAAUGGCUAUGUGAGAAUCUCUCGGUUAAAUGUUUGGAAACUCUUUGUCUGGAUGGUGUGUCUUGGAGAAACCUUCCACCUUUAGGAGAGAUUUGGAUGGUUAAUGAGCUUGGUAAAGAGUAUCAGGGUUGUAGUAUCCCACCUGCAGGCUUCCAUAAUCUAAAAAAGCUACGGUUAAGUGGCAUAUCUAGUCUAAAAAGAUGGGUUGGAAAUGGCCCUUGUUCUCUCUUUUCUCACUUGGAAGUGCUCAUCAUUAGACAUUGUUCUGAACUCAUCGAGUUGCCGUUUUCACAUACUCCAACUUGCUGUGAAGCACAGCCGCAGGAGAAAAUGGCUUGGUUUCAUAGACUAGAGAAGCUUGUCAUUGCAGACUGCCCAAAAUUAGAGUCCUUGCCUCCCAUCCCUUGGCAGACUCGUGCACCCUGCUCUGCUGAUAUAGAACAAGUGGGACCAGUUGAGCGCCUGUGGUAUGGGUACUCAUACGAAUCGAAGUUAAGAUUGAACAUUGAGGGAAAGGGUGACGUAUUGUGGAGUGGGUUGAAUUUCUCUAAUCUAGCUCCUCUAGAUGAGUUGCGGAUGAAAAAGAUCCGUCCCCUGCCGCUGGAUGACUUCCAGGUGCUUACAUCUCUGAAGAAGAUUGAGAUAGAGGGUGUGAGCAGCAGCGUCUUGCUGCCGGUUGAAGGUGAUCGGUGUCGUGGCGUAUACCAGUUUCCAGUUGAAGAAGUUGUGAUCAAAGGGUGUGAAACUAUUUGGAAAGAAUUGACGCUGCUGCUCUCUUUCUUUCCCAACCUCUCAUGGUUUUGGAUAGAGAACUGUGAGAAUAUAACUGGGUUGGGUGUGGCGGAGGAGGCAGAAACUGUUGCUGGAGAGCAGGAGCAACAGACAAGAGUUGGAGAGGACGAAAUAAUAACAGCAGUGGCAGCAGAAGGACUGCUGCUCUUGCCUCCCCACCUACAGGAGUUGUGGGUAUGGCGUUGCCCAAGGGUGAGCAUACUCCCCAAUCCAAUGCGGGAUGAUGAUCACACAUCAGCAACAGGAGGAGGCCUCCAACGUCUCGGCUCCCUCCGUCGAUUGGUUGUACAUGAAUGCCCUGAAUUCCUGUCCUCCUGUUCGUCCUCGCCCUCCUCUUUUUUCCCCUUCCCGACCUGCCUGCAAGACCUAUUACUACGCGGUGUGAAGCACAUGGAGACGCUGCAAGCCCUCUCAAACCUCACCUCUCUCACCGAAUUAUACUUGGAUAUACUGGGGGACUCAAGAGACGAGGGCUUAUGGCCUCUCCUCGCCCACGGCAGCCUCAAGAGAUUAGAGAUCUGUGCUGACUCUGACCUCUUCCUUGGUUCCCAUCCAGCAAGGCCACAUGACAAAGAGGUUUUUUCCCAGUCCUGCCAGCUCCUCCAUCUGAAUAUUAACGUCUACGCAGGAGUCCUUGCUGUGCCCAUCUGCAACCUCCUCUCUUCCACUUCCACCCUCACCAAUUUGGACCUCAGAUUCGACACGGAGGUGGAACACUUGACAGAGGAGCAAGAGGAGGCCCUUCAGCUCCUCACUUCCCUCCGGGAGCUAUUUUUUUUCGAUGGAGACAAGCUGCAGCGCCUCCCUGCAGGGCUUCACAACCUUACCAAUCUCAAGAAAUUGAGGAUCAAUGGUUGUCCGGCCAUACGGUCACUGCCCAACCUUCCGAGCUCUAUGCAGGAAUUGCAGAUUGAGUUCUCGGGUGCCAUCAAGUCGCUGCCCAACAGCCUCCCGAGCUCUCUAGAAAAAUUGGUGAUCACAGACUGUGAGGCCAUCAAGUCGCUGCCCAAGAAUGGCCUUCCGAGUACAAUGCGAGAGUUAGAUGUCAGCUAUGGCAACAGCAAGGAGCUAAAGAUGGAUUGCCGCAAGCUGAUAGGAACCAUCCCGAUAGUCAGAACCUGACCAAUCCAAGGUACAUUACAAAAAAAAAAAACACUUUUCAAUCUUUUUACUCAAUCCUAGUUCCUUCCUAGCUUAUUUUCCUAAAUCUGUAAGCACCGAAGCCAUUUUCUUUUGUUUUGUUUGGUUCAUCGUAGUUACUGCUGUUUCAUCUUAAAAAAAUGAACGGUUUGUUUUAAUUUACUUUCCAGGGUUCUUCAAUCUGCAUAUUCUUCUAGCCUCCUACAGUUUGUCUCCGUAUAAUUCUGAGAGCAAGGUUGCCAGCUCAAGCAUGAUGGCUUCAGUUUGUUUCUCCCAUCCUGCACGUAAAGCUGGUUAGUAUACAUGCAUGCAUAAUUAAAUCAUCCCAUACAGCUGUAUUUCCCAUCCAUUAUUAUAGAGUAUUUAACCAAAAACUACCACAAUUCGUGGAACCGUGCCUACAAACUACCACUUUACGAUUUUGUCCCAAAAACUACCACUUUUUUGCUGAUCUGUGACUAAAAACUACCAUGUGGGUAAAUCAACCGAUUCAUCCAUUUUAAACGUGUUUAUGAUAGACCUGGCCCGCAUGUAAGAAUACUCCUUGUUUUUAUACAUACACAAUCCCCACCAUUAAUCAUCAAUUAUUUCCCCAGUUUGUUUCUUGUUGUUAUUGCAAAAGUCUGAACUGUGCAGUGUGCGCAGGCUGAGUCACGGAGUUGUAAAUCUUCCAUCUUUGUACAAUUCUCCGCAUUGGCACACUGUUCCGACUUCCGACGUCAAAGCCUUGAGUGGCUCCUCCCUCUGAGCGUAAAUGAUACUUAGUUAUGGUAUGUACAUUUAUGUAAUGUCACAGUUUACUCUCUGUAAGAUAGUUGAUGCAUAUUAGUAUUUACCUUGCUUCUUCUUAAUCCGAUGUUUCAAGUCAAAUUUCUCGCUUUCUUUGCCUCAUUACUACACGACCUGAAGUCUGACAAAAUGUUUAUUCUAUUUACUAUGCAGGGCUCCAUCUUGGAGUUGUACAUUCUUUUAACCUUGCAAAAUUUACUACACACACACACACACACAGGUGGCACAUGAGGGUCUUGUGUGGUAUCUUCAUCCUACAUGAAAUCCAUAAAUCUGGUUAGUACGGGUAAAUCCAAUCUGUUCAUCAUAUAGCUAAUACCAUUUCAAAGUUCCUUUGUCCCCUCGAAGAAAUUUCUCAUGUACUCAACUUUUUUUCUUUCCUGUGCAGGUGUUCUUGUGCUCAUUCUGGUUGCUCUCUAGAUACUUCGCAUUUACAAUAGUACUUGGCUUAUUUGGCUGUUAUGGUCAAAACAUGACAAUGACAUAAUGGUGGAAGCAAGGAGAUCCAGUGACUUUCUACUGAAAUUAAGGUCUGCAGUUUUUUUUUAAAUUCGUUACUACACUGAUGACAAUAGAGGUGUUCUUGCAUCCUUCAUUACUGUUGUUGCUUAACGAAAUUUAAUGAAUGCAGGAAACAAGAAUACCCCUCUUAACAGAUCAGUGUUUGUGUGCAGCUAAUUCAGAUCUCCCGUUGCUAUCAACUGGUACGUCCAAUGUUCUCCUUUUGCAUCCAUAUAAAAGUCUAAAAGAUAACUUGUGUAUUUAUCUUUAAGUUCCAAACUUUUUAGAUUGAACUAAGCUUCUUGAUUGCUUGAUAGAUGUGGCCCGUGGACAAGUUUGGAAUUCAACAAUGAAGUGGACAAGUUUGGAUUCAACAAUGAAGUAUUAGCAGGUCUUUGGAAAGGUUAGCAACCUCCUGCCGAAAUUCAUGAUCGCCUCAGCUAUGCUAGAUUGUAGCCAAUGUGCAAUUGUCAACCUCUUAUUGCCUCAUGCGACCUCAGUUAGAGAACUUGCUGCUUUCUUUGUAAGUUGGCAGUCUAGCUUUUGAGCACGCUCAUAAUCUCUGAAUUCAUUGCCAUGCUGAAUUAAAUAACUCAAGAGAGUUUUCAGCUGAUACAUAUAGUCAUAAAGGUUGUGAACACUUGUUACUAGGUGAUUGAUGAACAUUGUUUGUUCAAAAAGACUCGAGCUUGCUAAUUUUUAUUCAUAGAACCUCCCGAGCUAAGUAUGGUGAAGGUGAUUUUAUUCUCUUAUUUAUCUGGAGUAUUUUGUUUUUCUAUCCUACCAAUCCAAAAACUGAGCAGAUUUCUUGAGCCUCGAUUAUUGCAAUUUGAAUAUUUAGUGCGUAUUGUUAAGUUUGAUGUUCCUCUAGUCUGAAGUCUUGAAAGCCAGUCAUUCUGUUUGCGUAACAGCUAGCCUCUUCAACACUUGGCAUUGAAUUCCUUCAUCAGGAUAUCACCUACUCCGCUGGUGUACAUAUAUACACAAAUCUCAAAAAUUAAACCAUUUCUUCCAUGUGUUCACACCAUACCUACCUAUAUAGCGCAUCUCUUGCUAUUCCAUAUUUAGUCGAUUAUUCCAUAAGCACACUCAUGAAAGUUCGAGAAGAUUCGAAAGAGCUUUAUUGUCAUCGUCAUCAACCCUCCAAAUUCCAUCAUUCUGAAAUGACACCUCUCUCACACAAAAAUGAAAAAAAGAGAAAAGAAAAAGAGAGAGGGUCACCAUUCAAAAGAUCAAGGGUUCAUCCUCAAGGAGGAAGAAAUAGUCUGCGCCGCUUCCAUAUUCAUGUGCAGAAUGGCUAAUCAAACUACUACCUAUGCAAUAUUAAUAACGGGAACAUUACUAGCAUCCCGGGAUCACCUUACAUUGCAUAGGCAUCUCAAUCAUUUCUUUGGCAUGAGUCCAUUCGUUCCCAUAUCCCCUGGGCACUACCUUUCUCCAAUGACUGGAAUGUGAAGACUUCUUUGUACUAGAGUGGAACACUUAUUUAGCUUUACUAUCUAGAUUUCAGUUUUGCUCAUUCUCUGAAUUACCCUACCAAGCUCCAGAUAAGCUUUCCACAAAUAUAAAGUAGAUAGAAAACGCUCCGGCCACUGGCCAGUGAGGACUAUAAUUGUGUGAUGAGAGUAAUUCCAGAUCAUGACGAGGUAAUCUCACUAGAAACCUGCUCUUGGAAGGUUCACAAAGGAAUAAAAUUGUUGGUUGCUCGUGUUCUCUUUUGUUCUUGAAAUUGAAGUCAAACCUCCUAGUGAUUGUGUUCAAAAACUUUGAUGGCUAUAUUGUUGAUGCUGUUCACUCUCAUAAAAUGGAACCCAUUCCUUACUGGCAAUGAAUACGAGUUGUUAUUUAAGCUUGUGCUCAAUUGCUAGCUUGCUACUUUGAUAAGUUUGUGGGAAGUGUCUCGAUCCGAAGUUUAUGAGGAUUUUAAUAAUUGUUUGCACAUGAGCACUUGUCUGCAAUCUCGCUAUGCUAAGCUUUCAGGUGUUUCACAAGCACAUGGGCAAGUUGAAUCAGGAGCCUAAAUCCUAUGGCCUGCCAUUUGCUGUGGUCUGAGACUCUUUCUCGGAGGGAAGAAUCAGAAAGGGAGAAGCCUGAGACGAACCAUACCCUUUGUUUGUCUUUGCAGCCUGAGAUGAAGAGCCUAUAAGGAAGAGAGGAUACUUUUUUCGCACUCAUUUCCUUGUAGCUUCAGUCUGUAGUAGGUCUCGAUGAGUGGUACGAAAACAGGACAACUUUUUUGUCAUUCGUUUUCUCAGUGUGGACAUGUAUGUUCAGUGAAAUGAAAUGCAGUUCUUUGCAACACUAUCUUCAUAUCUGAGCCUAUGCUUGGGUGUCACUUUUGGUUGUCUGUGCUAACGCAUAAUUAAAUAAAGACACCACAAUGGUU
rnacentral:lncRNA from 1 species